GAUGAAGAACGCAGCGAAAUGCGAUAAGUAAUGUGAAUUGCAGAAUUCAGUGAAUCAUCGAAUCUUUGAACGCACAUUGCGCCCCCUGGUAUUCCGGGGGGCAUGCCUGUUCGAGCGUCAUUUCAACCCUCAAGCUCUGCUUGGUAUUGAGUCCAUGUCAGCAAUGGCAGGCUCCAAAAUCAGUGGCGGCGCCGCUGGGUCCUGAACGUAGUAAUAUCUCUCGUUACAGGUGCUCGGCGUGCUACUGCCAAAACCCCAAUUUUUCUAUGGUUGACCUCGGAUCAGGUAGGGAUACCCGCUGAACUUAAGCAUAUCAAUAAGCGGAGGA
rnacentral:misc_RNA from 1 species